GGGACGUGGCGGUUGACGGCAACGUUAG
rnacentral:snRNA from 1 species